GACGAACGCUGGCGGCGUGCUUAACACAUGCAAGUCGAACGGGGCAGCCCCAGCUUGCUGGAGUGGAUCAGUUGCGAACGGGUGAGUAACCCGUGAGCAACCUGCCCCUGACUCUGGGAUAUGCGCUGGAAGCGGCGUCUACUCCUGGCUACGAGAAGGGUCCGCAUGGUGACUUUCUGGUAAGUUUUUCGGUUGGGGAUGGGCUGGCGGCCUAUCAGCUUGUUGGUGAGGUCGUGGCUCACCAAGGCAACGACCGGUAGCCGGCCUGGGAGGGCGACAGGCCACACUGGGACUGGAACGCGGCCCAGACUCCUACGGGACGCAGCGGAGGAGAAUAGUACACAAGGGGCGGAAGCCUGAUGCAGCGAAGCCGCGUGAGGGAUGACGGCCAGCGGGUUGUAAACCACAUUCAGCAGGGGAGAAGCGAAAGUGACGGUACCGGGAGAAGAAGCACCGGCUAACUACGUG
rnacentral:rRNA from 1 species